UCAAGGAGGAGAGAGUGAGCAACAGUGUCAAAGGCCGCAGAGAGACCAAGGAGACUGAAGAUUGAGAAAAGGCCAUUGAAUUUGGCAACUAAGGGGUCAUUAGUAACUUUGGAGAGAGCAGUUUUAUAACAAAGAAUCUCCUGAGACUUACCAAAAAAAGGAUGAAAACUAUUUACUCCUGAGGGUUCCCUUGGGUGCAAAUGGACUUUCAGAAAGAACCUAAAAGGCUGUGCUGUUACUUGUGAACUGUGAGACAGGAAACUGAAACCAUAAGGACACAAGCUGUGUUUUAUUCACUGUUGCCCAUUGAAGGCAAAGGAUACAGAAGAGUAAAAUUAAACUGGGAAGUGAAGAACUGGCCUAGGUGUCUAAAAAUGGGAUUUGGAUUUUGGCAUACAGUAGAGUGUUGGCAGACUCCUGACCACACCUAACAAAAGGUUGGUUUGUCAGGUGUCUUAAAGGUCUAAUGAAAAAGGCUUGACAAUAAAAGGGAUGGAAUAAAGAGAAGACUGCCUAUGUAUAUCACCCAAAUUAAACAAAUAGAUGGUUAGUUGUCCUAUGUAAUCAAAGAGGAUCAAAAUGACAUCACUAUGUUGGGGUUAAUAUACUGUGUCUGACUGUAGUGAUCAUUCCAAUACGAGCUCAGAAGGCUCAUGCCACAGGUUAGGCACAAAAAAUUCGUAUGGACAUUUGGAAUAGAGAUGUCUCUAAAUUUGCACAUCUCAUGUUUCUUUCGAACUACGGAAAUUCUGGCUUUGCUCAUAGAGCACAGAGCUUUCUUUGAUGAGGACUUUUUGUGCUGAGUGGCCCUGUGCCAGUGCCUCCCAUGUUUCACAAUUGAUUCCAAAGUUCUUCAGAGACAGCUUGAAAGUGUCCUUGUAUCACUUUUUCUGAUCCCCAUGUGAGCACUUACCUUGUGUGAGUUCUCCAUAAAAUAGUCUUUUAGGCAAACAUGCAUUUGGCAUUCCAACAACACGGCCAGCCUAUCAGAACUGUGCUCUCUGCAGUAAAAUUUGAACACUUGGAAGUUUAGCUCAAGAAAGGACCUCAGUGUUCAGUACCUUAUUUCACCAGGUGAUCUUAGCUCAAGAAAGGACCUCAGUGUUCAGUACCUUAUUUCACCAGGUGAUCUUCAGAAUCUUACUAAGACAAUUCAGAUGGAAGCAAUUUACUUUCCUGGCAUGGCGCUAGUAGACUGUCCGGAUUUCACAGCAUACAAUAAUGAGGUCAGCACAAUGGCUUUGUAGACCUUCAGUUUGGUAGGCAGUCUAAUACUUCUCUCUCACUCUUUCCUUUAGAGCCUCCCAAACACUAAGCUAGCUCUGGAAAUGUGUGUAUAAACUUCAUCAUUUAUGUGUACAUCCCUGGAAAGUUUUCUGCCAAGCCACACAGACAGCCAGACCCCAGGGCCUGCCUACAAGCCCUGCAGGAAGGACUAAGAAGCCCUCAGCAAACAUGAAAUACCAUGGAAACGCCAGAGCAACAGCUUCAGAGGUGAUCUGGGCCCCAGGAAGAGACACACAGUCACCCCCUUCCAAGUGGGGGCAGAUGAGAAGAGCCAAGGUUGCCAGGACUGAAAAGCCCAGGAGGAGAGGAGACUACUAAAUAAGAACUGGGCACAGAGCUGGGGCAGCUGGGUCUGCAGCGCCUGGCCCUUUGUAGUUCCUGGGGAAAGCACUUUCUUCAGAUACUCUUCCAAAGCCAGGUCUCCUGCUCCCCCCGCCUUCCCCUUGCAUUUGGAGCCAGAGCUGCUGCUGAGCAUCUGAAGCCCCCAAAACAAAAUUAGCCUUCCUCAGUCCCUGGCAGAGAGGGAUUGCCUAACACCAGGAAAGGAAAAGAAAGAUCCCUGCCUCUUGGCUGGCUACCUGGUCUUGGCUGAGGCUCCCUCUCCAUGCUCUGUAUCCCACCUAGAGGCUCAGGAAGCUGCUGGGUUGGGCUGGGGUGGGGUUGGCAGGUCCUCCAAAAGCAGUGCAGCCAAGAAAGGGCAAAGCCAGGAGGUAGCUAAGAGAAGAAAAAAAAAAGGGAUGGCUAUCUCAGGCCUCAAACACACACCCCUCCCUAAUUACCCAGAGAAGAAACUAAGAGAAAAUCAGGGUAUUUCAGGCAAAGACAAAAGAAUAAAAAUAAACAUUUCCAUUUAA